rnacentral:tRNA from 1 species
GCUUUAGAGCAAUGGAUAGCGCGUUGAACUUCUAAUCCAAAGGGCGUGGAUUCGAAUACCACCUGGGAUG